GUGGGAUUGUGCAGCACGUGUCAUCAUGACAUGUGUCCCUUCGCGGCCUUCAGUUUUGAUUAUAGACUAGAGAAGAGACUAAAUGCGUACAAACCUGAUGUCAAAUGAAGAUAUACGGAAUUUAAAUAACGUUGAUCCUUUAAAUGUAUGAAAAACAAAAACAUAUGACAAUUGUUCACAUAAAAUAGAUAGUAAAAUUUUCCAAAUGAACGUCCAUUAAAAUUAUUAAAGUCUCUGAUGAAUAUUUCCCGCGCAAAUGUCAUGGAAUAGACCAAAACGAAUUUUAGGUGUGUGUUGUCAUUAAAAAAUUCGGGUCAAUGAACACAGUUAGAUUAAAUAUAUAAAUAUGUUAACUAUAUUUAUAUUGGUUUUUCAGAAAAGUGACUUUACCAGAUUUUUUUUUGUGGCAAACAACGGUAAAUAGCCUAUAUCAUCUUGACAUGACAUAUGAAAACCCCUUAAGCAUAAUGGUGUGUGUAUGGAAUAGUCCAUGGAAUUGUCCAAACCGAUACAGGUGAAAUACGUAGAAUAAUAUUGCUGUGUCUAUUGUGGACACAGCAAUAAAAUCAGAUUUAAGAUCCUUAUGAGCCCGUAGUAAAGUAAAAAAAACUGUAAAAAGCCUUAUUAAAUAAAAUUUGCUCGAUUAACCUUGAAGUGAAGACUAAUAAAAAUUUGCGUGUAUAGUGAACCCCCUAAAUAAAAUAAUACUGUGUUCUAGACCACUUCCCCUUUCGGUGAUCUACAGAAAUGAUUUUUUACUAUAUAGUAUGUUAACAA
rnacentral:lncRNA from 1 species